rnacentral:tRNA from 1 species
UUUAAUUUAGCAUAAAUAAAUGCGAAGAGUUUAAGCCUCUUAGAUUUAAUUAAAA